GCUUAAGAAGGGAUAGCGGCUCAGGUUGCCGUGACGAGAUCCUUGUAGCAUCUGAUGGCGUCCCGGGUGUCUUCGUACCCCGCAGCGACGUCCAAGAACGCCGUCAUCCUCUGCAGUUCCUGGUCGUUGUCAUCAUCCACGAACGGCGCCACCGGGACGGCGUUCUCCGGCUGCAGGGCGUAGGCAUUGGGAUUGUCGUCGAUGAUGACAGCGCGGUCCAGCGCCCGACCGGUGGCGGCCAGAUCCUUGACGAGCGUCCCGUCACCGGCGUCGCGGCAGGCGCCGCGGUAGAGGCGGUGCGCGAACACCUCCCCGUCUGGAUCCAGGCGGUCGAGCACGAGGGAGGCGUACUCCUGCAGCCCGGCGGUGAAGACGACGACCUCGAAGGCAUCCGCCGCCGCGCGGAGGAACGCCUCGACACCCGGGCGCUUGACGACGUAGAAGGUGACCGCAUGGCCACCUAUGACGGGGCGCACGGUGAAGUCGAACCGCGAGGGCGGCGGCUCCGUCUGGGAGUGGAUGAGCGUCUCGUCGAGGUCCAGGAACAGCGUCCGCCUCCCUGGCGACGGCGGCGGCGGCAGCGCCGCGGACUGCGCGCGGACCGCGGGGUUCUGCGAAGGCAGAGGCAGAGGCGGAGGCGGAGGCGGAGGAGCCGAGGAGGAGCGGAGGCGCUGGAACCCCGCGGAGGCAGCGCGGCGCUUGCGCGAGCUGCCAAGGACGGCGAGGCGGGCGAAGAGCUUGAGGAGGCGGCGGCGGCAGGAGCGGAUGGAGCGGUCGAAGGAGGCGGCGACGGCCGUGGGCGCAGACGCGAGCGACUUGAGCGGGCUCCCGCGGCGCUUGGCGGUGGCGGGGGAAACACGGCGGCGGAGAGCAAGGCAGCGACGGGCCACCAGCGUCGGGGACGACUUCGGCGGGGUGACGCUGCCGAUGCCGGUGCCGGUACCGGUCUUGGGCGACGGCCGCGGCUUUGUGGGCGUCCUGGACACCAUCUCGCGGUCGCGCCUUCCGUCCUCGAAGGGGUGGGGGUGGCUGCUGUAAACCUGUACCGCUAGGUCCGCUACUGCUUCUGCUUCACCGCGCCAAUCGCUGGUGUAGACUGUGGUGGACUAGUGGUACUGGUGCGUUACCCGGGCGCUGGCCGCUGGGGAGGAGCAUUUGGGUUUUUGUGGAGGGAGACUAUGC
rnacentral:misc_RNA from 1 species